AAGGACUCCUUUUCCUGGUGUAAAUUUCACCUCCAUUUAGAGAAUUUGCAUAUUGCCACGUUAGCUAGACCAGCAAAAAUCACUUAGUGUGAAAGCCACUUUCUGAAAUGGCAAAUAAAAAUAGCUCCUUUUGAUUGGUUUGUUAUCCCAAGUACAAGGGGGAUCCCAAAGGGUCUCGGAGCAUAUUAUACAAACACAGAGCUAACUUCCCAAAAUCAUGCACUGCAGGAAGAUUAGCACCUUCUCCAAGGCAAAUGGCAGAUGAAGAGGAGCAGAAUACCUUGUACAGACAAAUUGGAUGUGUCAGUGUGAGUGUUUCAACUGCUGCCGAAAAUGCCAAGUGAUUUGUAAGGAUCACUUCCCUUUUAUCGGCUCCCUUUAUCUUGUGGCAGUGACAGGCUGGGACUCACAAAUCACUAAAGGAACCACCAGUGCAGCCCAUUUCUGUAACUUUUUUCUUCACUAGAUAUGUGUUCCUAACACGAGAACUCCUCUCAGUCCCACUUUUUUAAAAAAAAAAAAAAAAAGAGUGAAAACAUGACAAAACAGGGCUUGAGCUGCAUGACUGUGGCUCUCUGUGGAGGAGUGGAAAAGACAAUUGCCCCAGUUACAUGCUGGGUUUGGAACUCGGUGUAGCCUAAGCCUAUUGAAAUAUAUAUUUGGGAGGGGAGUGGAGGGGAGGGAGGAUGCUCUGGAAUGAGGCCUGGAGCUGGAAUGCUGUCCUAGAGGCAGCAGCAGGAGGAGGGAGAGCCAUAAACUGGCUGCCAUCCCCCAAUUUAAAAACAGGCAUGGAAACAUUUUGAUGCCAGAUUAUGGGACACCUUUCAGUCCUGGUUUUUAUUUUAUCUUUUUUUUUUUCUUUUGUCCUUAGUUUUCCAUCUAGAUGACUGAAACUUUUCCUAUUUGUGCCCCCAACUGUGCAAGCUGGGCUGGCUAAAGGCAUUUUUAUUUUUCUCUACUCCAGCCCUGACAAAGUCCUGCUUAUGCAACAGCUUCUACCUUUAAUAACAGCAAUAUAACUGCAUCAGAACUAAAAAAAAACCACCCAGAUUUCUUAGCACCAAGGCCUGAGAGAACCUGCUGCUGUGCUGGAUCUGACAGGAGGCAAUUUAUAAGGAAUUAACUCUGACAGUCACUUUAUACAGCUGAUUUUCAAAGAUCUAAGCACUAAAGAUGUGUUAAUGAGUUACUGAGGCUUCAUAAUUAAUUAUAUUAGCAUGUCUUUGUUACUCCCUACAACAGGAGUGCCUGGUUGACAUUUCAAUGGGAGGCUGGUGGUGUUCUUUGGGAUUAUUCUCCAGGAGUGCAGUUCCACCUUAGCUCCCAGAGGGGAACUGGCAUGGAAAUGCCGCUGUGAAUUGCAAGGGCCUUUGGAUCUCAGGAAAAGCCCCUGAAGGAGACUCUGCUGGAAGCUGAAUGGAUGUCAGGAAGAUUUCUCGAGCCUAGAAUCUCUCUUCAGAUAUGGACUCUCCUCCCCCUUCAUUUCUGCCUUCCCUCCCCCCUUCCCUCCCAACCCACAAGGCUCAAGAGCAGCAACAUCCAGCUCUUAGGGAAUGUUUAGUUGCAAACCCUUAAAGGAAGGAACACUGACCUGAACGAAAUAGAGAACAAAGUAACCUGAAAACGGGGGAUAUUUUCACAGGCUCGAGUUUUUCAGUGCAAUAAAGCCAGAGCUGCCAGAAGGAGUCCCAGAAGUGAAAUCCUCUCUAGCACGGGAGCUUCUGAGGGGAAAUUCAGGCUCUCUUCAGACAGAGCAUCACAGAAGGGAUCUGAGGAGCUAAUUCCCCUGGAAAUUAUUGCAGGGUCUUCUUCACAAAAAUUUGGUUGGCAUAAGUAUUCCAGAAUAACUCCCAGUAUAAAUCCUGCAGUAUUCCAGUCUGAAAGUGUAUUUAUUUGUGAUUGAUCAUUCUAUCUAGGAAUGCUUAUCAGUGCUCAGUUUUUCUGAGAGCUUUCAUUACAAAGAGCAUCUGUAGCAAAAUAAAGCCUCAGAUGGAGACACAAACCCAACCACAACAUAUACCAUUUCAUCACCAGCUGAUUUCAAAUAAACACCUUGAUUUUCAAACAUUUUUUGUGAACUUGUAGCUCUGUUGAGCUUGGCUGAAGUCUUCUGUUGCCUCACUGCAGGAUGGAUUUGUUCUAAUAACAAAAUUCACAACUGUACACCUUAAAUAUGAACAAAACAUCCUUAAGCACCCACAAAGCUUAUGUCUCAUGUUCAGAAGUGGCUCAGGUUUCAUGGCCUUUCCAUUUCAUUUACAGUUUUUCAGGAUAUUUUGCCUGCCUCUUUGCCUCUGGUACCUGGGAAUGAGCACGACCAGCCAUCUCUUCAGGGAUUCCAAGCAGGUGCUCUGGAAGAGAACUGAGGAAGAGUUAGGACAAAAGGUGUUUUAGGAAGCUGGGAACGGCACAUCACCAGCACUGAACUGAAGCAAGCAAGCAAAAAAA